rnacentral:misc_RNA from 1 species
ACCCUCAGCAGCUUCCCGCCAAUUGUUUUUGCAGGGGAGGCGAGGAAGCUCGAGGAAAGAAUAGCCAGUGCAGCCGUGGGAAAUGCGUUUUUGCUUCAAGGUGGAGAUUGUGCAGAGAGUUUCAAAGAGUUUAAUGCCAAUAACAUUCGUGAUACAUUCCGGGUUUUGCUGCAGAUGGGUGUUGUUCUCACUUUCGGUGCCCAAAUGCCCAUCAUCAAGGUGGGAAGGAUGGCAGGCCAAUUUGCGAAACCUAGGUCGGAGCCAUUUGAGAUAAAAGAUGGUGUGAAACUCCC